rnacentral:ncRNA from 1 species
GACUGGUGGGAGUAAUCCCACUGGUUUGCCGAGCAGAAGUCAGCAGAGGUCAUAGUACCGAGAUGGGUAGGCAGCAGGCCGACAAGGGCUCGGGAAGGAC